rnacentral:rRNA from 1 species
UGCGUUGGCGGAUUAAUAAGUCAGUGGUGAAAACCUGCAGCUUAACUGUAGACUUGCCAUUGAUACUGUUAGUCUUGAGUACGGUCAAGGUAGGCGGAAUGUGUAAUGUAGCGGUGAAAUGCUUAGAUAUUACACAGAACACCGAUUGCGAAGGCAGCUUACUGGGCCAUUACUGACGCUGAGGCACGAAAGCGUGGGGAGCGAACAGGAUUAGAUACCCUGGUAGUCC